rnacentral:rRNA from 1 species
AUUGAACGCUGUCGGCAUGCCUUACACAUGCAAGUCGAACGGUAACGGGUCCUUCGGGAUGCCGACGAGUGGCGAACGGGUGAGUAAUAUAUCGGAACGUGCCCAGUAGUGGGGGAUAACUGCUCGAAAGAGCAGCUAAUACCGCAUACGACCUGAGGGUGAAAGGGGGGGAUCGCAAGACCUCUCGCUAUUGGAGCGGCCGAUAUCAGAUUAGCUAGUUGGUGGGGUAAAGGCCUACCAAGGCAACGAUCUGUAGUUGGUCUGAGAGGACGACCAGCCACACUGGGACUGAGACACGGCCCAGACUCCUACGGGAGGCAGCAGUGGGGAAUUUUGGACAAUGGGCGCAAGCCUGAUCCAGCAAUGCCGCGUGCAGGAAGAAGGCCUUCGGGUUGUAAACUGCUUUUGUCAGGGAAGAAAUCUUCUGGGCUAAUACCCCGGGAGGAUGACGGUACCUGAAGAAUAAGCACCGGCUAACUACGUGCCAGCAGCCGCGGUAAUACGUAGGGUGCGAGCGUUAAUCGGAAUUACUGGGCGUAAAGCGUGCGCAGGCGGCUUUGCAAGACAGAUGUGAAAUCCCCGGGCUCAACCUGGGAGCUGCAUUUGUGACUGCAAGGCUAGAGUACGGCAGAGGGGGAUGGAAUUCCGCGUGUAGCAGUGAAAUGCGUAGAUAUGCGGAGGAACACCAAUGGCGAAGGCAAUCCCCUGGGCCUGUACUGACGCUCAUGCACGAAAGCGUGGGGAGCAAACAGGAUUAGAUACCCUGGUAGUCCACGCCCUAAACGAUGUCAACUGGUUGUUGGACGGCUUGCUGUUCAGUAACGAAGCUAACGCGUGAAGUUGACCGCCUGGGGAGUACAGCCGCAAGGUUGAAGCUCAAAGGAAUUGACGGGGACCCGCACAAGCGGUGGAUGAUGUGGUUUAAUUCGAUGCAACGCGAAAAACCUUACCUACCCUUGACAUGUCAAGAAUUCUGCAGAGAUGUGGAAGUGCUCGAAAGAGAACUUGAACACAGGUGCUGCAUGGCCGUCGUCAGCUCGUGUCGUGAGAUGUUGGGUUAAGUCCCGCAACGAGCGCAACCCUUGUCAUUAGUUGCUACGCAAGAGCACUCUAAUGAGACUGCCGGUGACAAACCGGAGGAAGGUGGGGAUGACGUCAGGUCCUCAUGGCCCUUAUGGGUAGGGCUACACACGUCAUACAAUGGCCGGUACAGAGGGCUGCCAACCCGCGAGGGGGAGCCAAUCCCAGAAAACCGGUCGUAGUCCGGAUCGUAGUCUGCAACUCGACUGCGUGAAGUCGGAAUCGCUAGUAAUCGCGGAUCAGCUUGCCGCGGUGAAUACGUUCCCGGGUCU